UACGUAGGCAGCAAGCGUUGUUCGGAAUUACUGGGCGUAAAGAGUGCGUAGGUGGUUGGCUAAGUUUGGUGUGAAAUCUCCCGGCUUAACUGGGAGGGUGCGCCGAAAACUGGUUGACUAGAGUGUGGGAGAGGGACGUGGAAUUCCUGGUGUAGCGGUGAAAUGCGUAGAUAUCAGGAGGAACACCUGCGGUGUAGACGGCGUCCUGGACCAUGACUGACACUGAGGCACGAAAGCGUGGGGAGCAAACAGG
rnacentral:rRNA from 1 species